GCUCCCGUGGUGUAGUCCGGCCCAUCAUCUCGGCCUUUCGAGCCGAAUACCCGGGUUCAAAUCCCGGCGGGAGCACCA
rnacentral:tRNA from 5 species